rnacentral:rRNA from 1 species
UACGAAGGGGACUAGCGUUGUUCGGAAUUACUGGGCGUAAAGCGCACGUAGGCGGCUUUGCAAGUCAGAGGUGAAAGCCCGGGGCUCAACCCCGGAAUUGCCUUUGAGACUGCAUCGCUAGAAUUGUGGAGAGGUAAGUGGAAUUCCGAGUGUAGAGGUGAAAUUCGUAGAUAUUCGGAAGAACACCAGUGGCGAAGGCGACUUACUGGACACAUAUUGACGCUGAGGUGCGAAAGCGUGGGGAGCAAACAGG